CCAGCAGCUUGAUGGUCCAGUGUAUAACUUGGAACACAAUUGAGCUGACUCUGAUGGGCUUCACCAUCCCAGAACAUACAAUCCGUGACUAAAUGGAGGGCAUCACCUGUGCUCUAAAGGCCAGACUGGCACCUGCUAACAAGGUCUGCAAGGUAAAACAUUGUCCCCCUCCAGAAUCCAGACUUUGAUCUCAUCUUUUAGCAGCAUCUUAGACCAGUGUGUUUAUGUGGGUGUUCAGGCCUCCAAAGCCUUCACAAACAGCAACGGGCAGGAAGCUUUCUUAUGAAAAAGAAAAGGAAAAAAUGCCAGUUUUCACUGGGUGAAACGACUAUUUUCUGCAUACUAGUUUGAGACUGAGCCAAAGCUGUGAAAGCGGACUAUGAUUUUUGACCCUUCUCAUAACUACUUUCCCUCAUCUGUAGAGGUGAGUAAAAUCAUGCUAAGUACACUGCACUUCUAGGCUCUGAUGAGGAGAGUCAAACAAAACCUGUAUAUAGAAGUUUUAAUGCUGAUAUGGCUAAGAUUAACCUCGGAUUGAGCCUGAGGUUUGUAGUUGAGAUCAGCUACAGCUGCAACACCUGGACCAGAGUUUCACUGGAGUCAGGGGAUCAGAUUGCUUUGGCUUGGACCCCUACUCUACUGUGGACACUUUUUCAUUAGGCUAAUCCAUGGUCCCCCAGAUUGGCCCCAACAUCACCCCAAUUUUGUGCCAUGGUUGAUGAGGUGGUGUUGCAGAGCUGGAAAAUACCCUCAGAUCUCAAAAGAAAGAUGCAAAGUCCUGUAACCAAGUUAUGCUUAUUCCUACAUGCUCACACUCAUGGCAUAUCAGGAACUCAGGGCAGCCAAUUUUUCAAGCAGUGCUAAAACAUGUAUUUCACAUUGGUGAAAGGGAGGGACACCGAGCACUUAACCCUGCUCUUAGCCCUUCCCCCAGUUUUCUCUUUCUUGAGCCUGAAUUCAACUGGAAGCAUUAUUUUUAGAGCUGUUGAAUUUAACCCCAAACUCACCCACCCUUCCAGAAUCCUACUGUUGUGCCACAGUAAUGAUGUAAUACACAGUCAUCCCAUAACCAGGACUUGUACAGCACAAAGCCCAUUUGCACCCAUCAGAGUCUGCAAGGCAGCAUCAACCGAUGACUUAUCUUCUGGAGCACUGAAGGAAUUGAGUUCUGCCGAAGAAAUUAUUUAUGAAGAUUUUCCAAGUUGCUCAGAGCUUCAGAUGGAGGAGGUUGAAUAUGACUUCUUUAAUAAAACAGGCUGGGAUGUCAUGAAUGAGUUAAAAGGUCACAGGAAGGAAAUGUUGAUAACUAACUGUCCGUGACUGGCAGGAUACGAUGUGUUUAACGCAUCUGAGUCCAGGGCAGAUUCUGGGUUAGAGGUCUGCAUUGUGAAUGAGCCCUUCCUUCUCUGGGAAGCUUUGGACUGCUGCUGUAUUUGAAGCAACAAACAACCCAGCCAGCUGCAGAAGCCUUGGCAUCAUGUAAGCGUACCCAAUCUCAAAAGAAAUCCACCCAUCUCAAGUGAAGCAAAUGCAUAGAUCUUUUGGAUUUCCUUUCACAUGGCCUGAAUUUCUCUUUUCUUCCAAUAUUGAUUUCAGGGCUGAAAUAAAAUGCCUUUGGACCCUGUUAAACA
ensembl:lncRNA